rfam:Anopheles gambiae str. PEST whole genome shotgun sequencing project, whole genome shotgun sequence.
CAAACGGUCCUUUUCAGGACCACAAUACAUUACUCAAGAGCUGUGU